UAAACGGCCGCGGUACCYUGACCGUGCGAAGGUAGCAUAAUCACUUGUCUUCUAAAUAAAGACUAGAAUGAAAGGCUAAACGAGGUUCUACCUGUCUCCUACAACCAAUCAGUGAAAUUGAUCUGYCCGUKCAAAAKCGGGCAUMACCCCAUAAGACGAGAAGACCCUGUGGRACUUCAAGAAAUAAUCARCCAAUMAGCCACACCAAACCGCCCUACGGGACGACACAAACCACAACCUCUGAUUACAACUUUCGGUUGGGGCGACCUCGGAGCACAAAAAACCCUCCGAAAAUAGGACACCACUCCACACAAAGAUCAACACACCAAGUGCAAAUUMAARCAGAAACGAUCCAAUAAACUUGAUAAACGAACAAAGCUACCCCAGGGAUAACAGCGCAAUCCCCUCCCAGAGMCCAUAUCAACAAGGGGRUUUACGACCUCGAUGUUGGUUCAGGACAUCCUAAUGGUG
rnacentral:rRNA from 1 species